AACGAACGCUGGCGGCAUGCCUAACACAUGCAAGUCGAACGAGAUCUUCGGGUCUAGCGGCGCACGGGUGCGUAACGCGUGGGAAUCUGCCCUUUGGUUCGGGAUAACAGUUGGAAACGACUGCUAAUACCGGAUGAUGACGAAAGUCCAAAGAUUUAUCGCCAGAGGAUGAGCCCGCGUAGGAUUAGCUAGUUGGUGUGGUAAAGGCGCACCAAGGCGACGAUCCUUAGCUGGUCUGAGAGGAUGAUCAGCCACACUGGGACUGAGACACGGCCCAGACUCCUACGGGAGGCAGCAGUGGGGAAUAUUGGACAAUGGGCGAAAGCCUGAUCCAGCAAUGCCGCGUGAGUGAUGAAGGCCUUAGGGUUGUAAAGCUCUUUUACCCGGGAUGAUAAUGACAGUACCGGGGGAAUAAGCUCCGGCUAACUCCGUGCCAGCCGCCGCAGUAA
rnacentral:rRNA from 1 species